rnacentral:rRNA from 1 species
UACAGAGGUCUCAAGCGUUGUUCGGAUUCAUUGGGCGUAAAGGGCGCGUAGGCGGCGGGGUAAGUCGGGUGUGAAAUCUCAGAGCUCAACUCUGAAACUGCACUCGAUACUGCUCUGCUUAGGACUGGAGAGGAGACUGGAAUUCACGGUGUAGCAGUGAAAUGCGUAGAUAUCGUGAGGAAGACCAGUGGCGAAGGCGGGUCUCUGGACAGUUCCUGACGCUGAGGCGCGAAGGCCAGGGGAGCAAAGCGGG